CAGGCUUAACACAUGCAAGUCGAGCGCCCCGCAAGGGGAGCGGCAGACGGGUGAGUAACGCGUGGGAAUCUACCCUUUUCUACGGAAUAACGCAGGGAAACUUGUGCUAAUACCGUAUGUGUCCUUCGGGAGAAAGAUUUAUCGGGAAAGGAUGAGCCCGCGUUGGAUUAGCUAGUUGGUGGGGUAAAGGCCUACCAAGGCGACGAUCCAUAGCUGGUCUGAGAGGAUGAUCAGCCACAUUGGGACUGAGACACGGCCCAAACUCCUACGGGAGGCAGCAGUGGGGAAUAUUGGACAAUGGGCGCAAGCCUGAUCCAGCCAUGCCGCGUGAGUGAUGAAGGCCCUAGGGUUGUAAAGCUCUUUCACCGGAGAAGAUAAUGACGGUAUCCGGAGAAGAAGCCCCGGCUAACUUCGUGCCAGCAGCCGCGGUAAUACGAAGGGGGCUAGCGUUGUUCGGAAUUACUGGGCGUAAAGCGCACGUAGGCGGAUCGAUCAGUCAGGGGUGAAAUC
rnacentral:rRNA from 1 species